rnacentral:lncRNA from 1 species
CUCUCCUCAUAUGGGCACUUAUUGCUAUAUACUUUCCUCUAGAGACUGCUUUAAAUGUGUCCCAGAGGUUCUGGCACGUUGUGUCUUCGUUCUCAUUGGUUUUGAAGAACUUCUUUAUUUCUGUCUUUAUUUCAUUGUUUACCCAGUCAACAUUCAAGAGCCAGUUGUUCAGUUUCCAUGAAGCUGUGUGGUUCUGGGUUGGUUUCUGUAUUCUGAGUUCUAACUUGAUUGCACUAUGGUCUGAGAGGCUGUUUGUUAUGAUUUCAGUUGUUUUGCAUUUGUUGAGCAGUGCUUUACUUCCAAUUAUGUGGUCAAUUUUAGAGUAGGUGUGAUGUGGUGCUGAGAAGAAUGUAUAUUCUGUGGAUUUGGGGUGGAGAGUUCUGUAAAUGUCUAUCAGGUUUGCUUGCUCCAGGUCUGAGUUCAAGCCCUGGAUAUCCUUGUUGAUUUUCUGUCUGGUUGAUCUGUCUAUUAUUGACAGUGGAGUGUUAAAGUCUCCCACUAUUAUUGUGUGGGAGUCUAAGUCUCUUUGUAAGUCAUUAAGAACUUACCUUAUGUAUCUGGGUGCUCCUGUAUUGGGUCCAUAUAUGUUUAGGAUCUUUAGCUCUUCUUGUUGUAUCGAUCCAUUUACCAUUAUGUAAUGGCCUUCCUUGUCUCUUUUGAUCUUUGUUGCUUUAAAGUCUAUUUUAUCAGAGAUGAGAAUUGCAACUCCUGCUUUUUUUUGCUUUCCAUUUGCUUGGUCAAUCUUCCUCCAUCCCUUUAUUUUGAGCCUUUGUGUAUCCUUGCAUGUGAGAUGGGUUUCCUGAAUACAGCACACUGAUGGGUUUCGUUUUUUUAUCCAAUUUGCCAGUCUGUGUCUUUUGAUUGGUGCAUUUAGUCCAUUUACAUUUGGGGUUAAUAUUGUUACGUGUGAAUUUGAUACUGCCAUUUUGAUGCUAGCUGGCUGUUUUGCCCAUUAGUUCUUGUAGAUUCUUCAUUAUGUUGAUGCUCUUUAGGAUUUAGUGUGAUUUUGGAAUGGCUGGUACUGGUUGUUCUUUUCUAUGUGUAGUGCCUCUUUCAGGAGCUCUCAUAAAGAAGGCCUGGUGGUGACAAAAUCUCUGAGUACUUGCUUGUUCGCAAAGGAUUUUAUUUGUCCUUCACUUACGAAGUUCAGUUUGGCUGGAUAUGAAAUUCUGGGUUGAAAGUUCUUUUCUUUAAGGAUGUUGAAUAUUGGACCCCACUCUCUUCUGGCUUGUAGAGUUUCUGCUGAGAGAUCUGCUGUGAGUCUGAUGGCCUUCCCUUUGUGGGUGACCCGACCUUUCUCUCUGGCUGCCCUUAGUAUUUUCUCCUUUAUUUCAACCCUGGUGAAUCUGACGAUUAUGUGCCUUGGGGUUACUCUUCUUGUGGAAUAUCUUUAUGGUCUUUUCUGCAUUUCCUGCAUUUGAGUGAUGGCCUGCCUUGCUGGGUUGGGGAAAUUUUCCUGGAUAAUAUCCUGAAGAGUAUUUUCCAGCUUGGAUUCAUUCUCUUCAUCUCAUUCUGGUACACCUAUCAUACGUAGGUUAGGUCUCUUCACAUAGUCCCACAUUUCUUGGAGACUUUGUUCAUUCCUUUUUGCCCUUUUUUCUCUAAUCUUGGUUUCUAAUUUUAUUUCAUUGAGUUUAUCUUCGACUUCUGAUAUUCUUUCUUCUGCUUGGUCAAUUCAGCUGUUGAAACUUGUGCAUGCUACACGAAGUUCUCGUAUUGUGUUUUUCAGCUCCUUCAAUUCAUUCAUAUUCCUCUCUAAGUUAUCCGUUCUUGUUAUCAUUUCCUCGAAUCUUUUUUCAAAUCUUUUUUCAAGGUUCUUAGUUUCUUUGCAUUGAUUUAGAACAUGUUCUUUUAGCUCACAAAAGUUUCUCAUUAUCCACCUUCUGAAGUCUAAUUCUGUCAUUUCAUCAUAGUCAUUCUCCCUCCAGCUUUGUUCCCUUGCUGGUGAGGAGUUUUGGUCCUUUCUAGGAGGUGAGGUGUUCUGGUUUCGGGUGUUUUCCUCCUUUCUGUGCUGAUUUCUUCCCAUCUUUGUGGAUUUAUCCACCUGUCUUCUGAGUAGUUGCUGACUUUUCGAUUGGGUCUCUGAGUGGACACCCAGAUUGUUGAUGAUGAAGUAUUUCUGUUACUUGGUUUUCCUUCUACCAGUCUAGCCCCUCUACUGUAUGAGUGCUGAGGUCCACUCCAGGCCCUGCUUUUCUGGGGUGCACCUAUAGCAGCUGCAGAACAGUGAGGGAUGCU